rnacentral:rRNA from 1 species
CAAGCGGUGGAUGAUGUGGAUUAAUUCGAUGCAACGCGAAGUAACCUUACCUACCCUUGACAUGUCCGGAACUUGCCAGAGAUGGCUUGGUGCCGAAAGGGAAUCGGAACACAGGUGCGUGCAUGGCUGUCGCCAGCUCGUGUCGUGAGAUGUUGGGUUAAGUCCCGCAACGAGCGCAACCCUUAUCAUUAGUUGCUACGCAAGGGCACUCUAAUGAGACUGCCGGUGACAAACCGGAGGAAGGUGGGAUGACGUCAAGUCCUCAUGGCCCUUAUGGGCAGGGCUUCACACGUCAUACAAUGGUCGGUACAGAGGGUUGCCAAGCCGCGAGGCGGAGCCAAUCCCACAAAGCCGAUCGUAGUCCGGAUUGUUCUCUGCAACUCGAGAGCAUGAAGUCGGAAUCGCUAGUAAUCGCAGGUCAGCAUACUGCGGUGAAUACGUUCCCGGGUCUU